GACGAACGCUGGCGGCGUGCUUAACACAUGCGAGUCGAACGGUGAAGCUCCAGCUUGCUGGAGUGGAUCAGUGGCGAACGGGUGAGUAACACGUGAGCAACCUGCCCCUGACUCUGGAAUAAGCGCUGGAAACGGCGUCUAAUACUGGAUACGAGAAGGGUCCGCAUGGGCACUUUCUGGAAAGUUUUUCGGUUGGGGAUGGGCUCGCGGCCUAUCAGCUUGUUGGUGAGGUAAUGGCUCACCAAGGCGACGACGGGUAGCCGGCCUGAGAGGGCGACCGGCCACACUGGGACUGAGACACGGCCCAGACUCCUACGGGAGGCAGCAGUGGGGAAUAUUGCACAAUGGGCGAAAGCCUGAUGCAGCGACGCCGCGUGAGGGAUGACGGCCUUCGGGUUGUAAACCUCUUUCAGCAGGGAAGAAGCGAAAGUGACGGUACCUGCAGAAGAAGCACCGGCUAACUACGG
rnacentral:rRNA from 1 species